ensembl:lncRNA
CCCCUAUUAUCUAUUUCCUUCAUAUUUGGUAGUAUUCCCAAUAUGCAUCUACCUUCUUUAAGACUUACAUUUCCACUUAAUCUCCCACAUCUGGAAAAACGACCUUGACUAUAAAAAGAAAAAAAUUCCAUCCCCUACAAUCCUGUCUUAAAUUGAUGUUCAACCUGGGAUGGGAAUAGAGGUGAACCUCCUUUUCCUUGUGUCCUUUGAAUUCCCUUGUGAUCCCACCAUUCUCCAUAAGUAUGCCGCUGAAAUGGGCAGGGUCUCUGAGAAGUCCAAGAACAUGCGUUGGCAGAGGGUGAUUGAUGAUAGUGUCAUGGAUCAGAAAUAGAUCCCAGAUACUGAGGUUUGAAGGAAAGCUGUUUGCCAUUUUCAGAUAACUGACUUCAGUGGAGAAGUGAAGGAAGACUGUGGGUGGUGAAGACAAGAGUCGGAAAGAGGGAAGAAUAUAUACAGCCCACUGCUAAAAGAAAUUUACCCCAUGUAACAGCAGAUCAGAGGAAAAAUGGACCAGAGAGGUUGAGAACUCUGUAGAUAGAUGCUCUACUCUCUGCGGCCUAUGUGAAGGGAAAGCACCUGUUAAAAGGAGUAUAUAAUAGAGAUACCAGACAGAGGGAGGCUGGCGGGGAAGAGAGCUACAAUGGGCAGAAAAACAGAAUAGAGAGAGAAUAGAGCAAAACUGUAGUGAUAUGUCAAUGAAUUUUGGCAAAUGGGACUAUAUUAAUGUUCAUAAGCAGCAAAACACAAGUACAUUGGAAGAUGACUACUAUGGGAAAAGACUUGGUGCGUUGGGGACUGUGGUCUCACCUCAGCUACCCACUACAUAUCUGCUAUACUCUUCUACAAGGAAAAGCAUGGGUUAGACCAUUGGAUAGGAUGUUGCUGGACCUGUAUCUUCCAGAUUUUUCUGUCAGAAAAAGAUGCUUUCCCCUAGCUCCAGUUCAGUGAAAUAGCAGCUCUGAUUUGCUCAGUCUGUUUUGUGCCUGGUCCAAAGGUUGUGUGGCAGAAAGAGGGAGAAGACAUAUAUCAACGAUAGUCCACAUUACAAACAAACAGAUGGUCAUAGCAGAUCCUUUUCAUUCCUUGUAUAUAGGGGUGGUGCUUUUACCAACAGGCUAAGGGGGACUGGUACACGGGGAUAGAAAUAAUCAAGAGCAAGAGGAAAAGGGGAAGGAAUCAGUGCUGGAAAGGAGUAGAGGCUCCUCUCUGACACCGGAAUGGGUGUCUGUUUUGUAUACAUACAUGUGUGUCCAUGUGUAGUUUUAUGUAAAUAUACAUAUGUAUAGCAUAUAUUGGUCAUGUGCAUGUGUGUGUAUACAGACACACACAUGAGCAGCUACCUAUUCUCUGCUUUAAAAAAAAAAAGCUGCAGAAGUAUGCCACAGCCUGGGUACUCUGGAAGCAAGUGCUGAGACCGUUUGGUGUGCAAGAUGUUCACGGGGGAACAGCACAUGUAAGAGAAAAAAAAGAAGCCUAUUUAGCAGUUGAAGAAAGAGAGCUGCAGUGCAGGCUGCCUUCAUCACUGGCUGGAGAACUACUGAGUGUUACUGGCCAUGUUGUUUUGCAUCAAAAUGCUUGGACCAAAGUGGCCAGGCCUUGAGAUGCCUGUUGCACUCUGUCCUUGACUGUGACAACCCAGGUAAGGUCUGGUAUUAGUAGACAAAGCCCUGAAGUGAAGGCAGACCCAGAUGAUGCUGACAGGUAGAAAAUGCCAUCUGCCUUCCCUAUCCCUAGCAGCCAACCCUCCUUUAAAGCGAGGUCCAGACAGUGUGUUCCAUAUCCACCAAACCUGAGUAGAUCCCAGUUUUAUAUUACACAUCAUAACCUUGGACACCCCUGCAAUGUGGCUCUUUCACAAUGUUGGUGCUGGAAUGGGGUGAGCCAAGCACAGCACAGAAUAGAGUAUCUGGAGUCAAGUUAGUUUCCAAUGAACACAUGGAAAAGAAAUUUCCAACUUGGAUAUGAGUAGGUGUAAGAAAUUUAAAAUAUAAGCAGAUUCUAUCUAUCAUCUAUCUAUCAUCUCUCUUUCUCGCUCUCCUUCCCUCCCUCAAUCAUAGAAGUAGAGUUAUUUUUCCUUCCCUGAAUCUUCCCUGGCCUCUGGCCACUUUGAUCUACAGGGUAGAAACAAGGCACUCUACCACUUGGAGGCAUAACUUUUACAAGCAUUUGGUCUCAGAGAGGGGAAGUUCAAUCCCCAAGCACACACUUAGAAUCCCAACACUUUAGAGAUAGCAACAGGUGAACUUCUGGGCUCAAUGGUCAGCAAUCCUAGCCUAAGUGGUAAGAAUCAAGUCUUUGAGAGAAUAUCUCAAUGGGGUCAACAGUAUUCCUGAAGUUGACACCCAGGGUUGUUCUCCAACCCCCACAUCCAUGUACACCCAUAUAUAAACAUUCACACACAGACACAUACACAUGCACAAAAAUUAAGACAAAGGAGGAACUUAUUCUUUGGGACCACUGGGGGCUUCAAACAAGCCCAGAUACCCUACAGGGGCAAUCAUACAGAGAAGCUCUGAGAAUAUUUGGAGAUAGAGAAGAACCCAUCUCGGCCCAGUCUUACAGCUAUCUCUCUCUCCCAGAGGCAGACAUGUGGACAAAGCCUAGCCACCAUCUGAAUAGUGGUGGAUUACAAUCAACUGAACACUUCUGGGGCCUCACAUAACUGUGGCAUGUGGUGGAAGGCAGUAUUUAAGGUCCUCAUCUUUGCAAUGGUUGGCAUGUAGUAAUGGAUAACUGAAACUGUGUGCAAAGGUGGUAGCAAGGACAUGGCAAGUCCUUAAUUAAAGCAUGAGUAGAAGAUUAAAAAGUCAUAAUGCAAGAACAUCCCAAGGGAAGGCCAAGGAUGGGCAGAGACCAAUGACUGAGAAGCUGGUGGUCAAAAUGGAAAAUACAUGUGUCAGGCCUGAGGUGACUCAUGGUGAGAUGGACACCACUGACUUCCAGACUCCCAGUGCACUAGAAAAUGGGAUGCCUGAUGACAUGAGCGUCUAGGGUAAAAUCAGACCACGACUUUGAGAAUGUGAAACACUUUGGGUAAAUAAUAGAACCUCAGCACCAGGAGCUCCUAUCUAAUAUAGAUUCUGAGCAUCCCUUCUUGAGUAACAAACCUGACAUCACUAUUCUGAAAGUUGAAAUGUAUUGGAGACUAGAAAAUUCAAGAUAACAGCAUGAGCUGGGAAGGAUGUCCAGAGUCUCUGCUUCCAGCAUGGUACCUUGAAUUUUGUGUUCUUAGAGGAGAGAAUGCUGUAUCUCCAUAAAGCAGGAACAGGAUCACAAAACAGUGAACUCCAUCAUCAAGUCCUGUAAUUAGGAUAUCUAAUUCCAUGAGCCCUCAUGACCCAGCUACCUCCCGAAGGAUAUACCUCACAUUAAUGUUGCACAAGAGCAUCUCAACAUGAGUCUGGAUGGAACACAAGCAUCUAAACCACAGCAAUAUAACAGAGUGAUAAGCCUGGCUGUGUUAAAGAUCAAGACUUCUGUGUAGCAAAGAAGCUACUUGGAAGGAAUUUUGAUUGUGGAGGCAUAAAGAAUACAGCUCUUCACAAAUAAGUGCAAUAUAGGACAAAGUCACCACAAUUCAUCAUUUCAGGGCUCUAGAAAUCAAUUAAAGACAAACAAUAAAUUGGGAAGUAUUUACUCUUAAAGGUCUGUUGGAACUUUAGGUAAUAAUGAUAGAGCAUAUGAUCUUCAUCCUGAGGUUCUCAUCCCUGACCCAACUUCGUUAGUGGAAAUUACAGUCUUACCAGCGCUGGGAAAGCUGCAAAAACAGAAGUUUUAAAGCCAGAAGGAUCCAGUUCAAAUCAUCCAAGGGGUUAGCGGAUGGAGGAAUGGAACAAAGCCCAGCUUAAAGUGACAAAUUCUCUAAGAAUUAAACAGAGAGAAGCCACUAUAGCUUGCCAGCCCAAGGUUGCAACCCUAGGUUUGUGAUGAUGAGACUAACUUUAAUGAGGGACAUCCUGGCAGAAAGAAGGCCAUAGAAGAACAGGAAGAAACUUCCUGCAUGUUCCUUGAUGACUGGGAAGUGGGCACUUAUAUGGGUGACCCAGGAAAGUCAACAGAAACUGGAGACCUGGCUGUUGGCCUCCCAACCGGCACACAGAUGAGUUAACACAGAGUGUG